CAACCCAGGGAGUAAAGGACAUCAUCUUCAGAGGAAGGAGAACAAUGCAGCCCGCAUUCAUUUCCUCCAAAUCUCUUGAUCCUCAACGCAUUAUCAGCCUACUAUGUUUAAUUUCUAUCUUCAUUUUCAGUUCCUUUACUUGAGAGGCAAACCACAUUUUCUCUACCCGUCGACUCUAUUCUCACUCCACCGCAACAAUCUUCGACCUUGGAUUUCACGGCCAUCACGAGCAAUCGUCGUCAUGUUUAUAUUUUCUGUAAGCUUUUUCUAAUCUUUUUUGUGAUUUUCAGUGCAAUCUUUUCCAUGGUUUACGGUGAAGUCAGCGACGGCUUGGGGCUGGUUUUUGGUUGGACGUGGAGGCUUCCUUGGCCGUGUACAGUGGAGAGAGGUGUGUGUUGUUACUUGUUCAAAUUACACACGACAGGGGCUUUGGAAGUGGUAUGGACUGGCUCGCUUGGGUGGCAGUGCGACGGGGCUGGGCUUCUAUGGUGGAGAAGACGUUCAGCUAGCAGACAGCGGCUUAGUGUUUCACGGUGCAGCUGGCCAAGUUUUGGAGGUGGUUGUCGUGCGUGGAGAUGACCUCAAUGGCUGGAGCCUGGUUCCCUCUAAUGUGGUCUUGGUUUCGUUGACUUGGGUCUAUUGAACAGAUCACUUCUUCCUCCAGUACAACGAUGGCUAAGCAAGGCUCCACCAUUUUAUCCAACUGUCCAGAAGAUUCUGGAGUCACAUAGAGCAGACUUGAAGACCCCUUUGUGCCUGUGCUGUAUUGUUUUUGAUUGGUUGUAUUAUAGUGCUUAGGAAAUAUUCUAACUCACUCUACCAUACCAAUUGUACAACAGCGCACAUCAGCUGCUUGACACUAUGCGCAUGCCAAUUCUGUUAUGGCUCUAGAUGUCUAUAAAUACUCUUUUGCAAAUUCAUAUUAUACAAUGAAAAUAGAACAUUUCCAGAAUACAUUUUCUUC